AGAAAAACGCAUAAACCAAUAAUGCAAAAUGUAAGUAGCCAUAAGUGACUCCAAGAUAGGACCACUUGUUUUGCUUGCAAUUUCGAAUGGUCAAAGAGGUAGUGAAGACUCCAUGUGCGGGUGUGAGGAUAAUGUUGAGUCUAUGAGACUCGAUUUUCCGAGAGUCCUUAAUCGGGACUCCAUUUUUGUUCCAAAGUAUUCAUGCAAAUAAAGAGAAGAUAAAAUGAAUUAGUAAGACAUUCGACGUUAAGCGAUAUUAUAAAAAUAGAUAGUACUAAUUAAGUAACAUUAUACAUCAAAUAUAAUAUUUAACAUAUAAAGCGUGCUAGUGCCGAACGGAAAACUCAAACUAAG
rnacentral:lncRNA from 1 species